GACGUAGGGCGCGAGCGUUGUCCGGAUUUAUUGGGCGUAAAGAGCUCGUAGGCGGCUCGUUGCGUCGGCUGUGAAAACCCGCAGCUCAACUUUGGGCUUGCAGCCGAUACGGGCGGGCUUGAGUGCGGAAGAGGGUCGUGGAAUUCCCAGUGUAGAGGUGAAAUUCGUAGAUAUUGGGAAGAACACCGGUGGCGAAGGCGGCGACCUGGGCCAAUAUUGACGCUGAGGUGCGAAAGCGUGGGGAGCAAACAGG
rnacentral:rRNA from 1 species